rnacentral:rRNA from 1 species
CUUUGGGUAAAAGAUUAUUGCCCCAAGAGGAGCUCGCGUCUGAUUAGCUAGUUGGUGAGGUAAGAGCUCACCAAGGCAGCGAUCAGUAGCUGGUCUGAGAGGACGAUCAGCCACACUGGGACUGAGACACGGCCCAGACUCCUACGGGAGGCAGCAGUGGGGAAUUUUCCGCAAUGGGCGAAAGCCUGACGGAGCAAGACCGCGUGAGGGAGGAAGGCUCUUGGGUUGUAAACCUCUUUUCUCAGGGAAGAAGCUCUGACGGUACCUGAGGAAUCAGCCUCGGCUAACUCCGUGCCAGCAGCCGCGGUAAUACGGAGGAGGCAAGCGUUAUCCGGAAUUAUUGGGCGUAAAGCGUCCGCAGGUGGCGAUUCAAGUCUGCUGUCAAAGCACGGGGCUUAACUCCGUUAAGGCAGUGGAAACUGAAUAGCUAGAGUGCCGUAGGGGUAGAGGGAAUUCCCGGUGUAGCGGUGAAAUGCGUAGAGAUCGGGAAGAACAUCGGUGGCGAAAGCGCUCUACUGGACGGCAACUGACACUCAGGGACGAAAGCUAGGGGAGCGAAUGGGAUUAGAUACCCCAGUAGUCCUAGCUGUAAACGAUGGAUACUAGGUGUAGCUUGUAUCGACCCGAGCUGUGCCGAAGCUAACGCGUUAAGUAUCCCGCCUGGGGAGUACGCACGCAAGUGUGAAACUCAAAGGAAUUGACGGGGGCCCGCACAAGCGGUGGAGUAUGUGGUUUAAUUCGAUGCAACG